rnacentral:rRNA from 1 species
GUGAGGUAACGGCUCACCAAGGCGACGACGGGUAGCUGGUCUGAGAGGACGAUCAGCCACACUGGAACUGAGACACGGUCCAGACUCCUACGGGAGGCAGCAGGAGGGAAUAUUGCGCAAUGGGCGAAAGCCUGACGCAGCAACGCCGCGUGAGGGAUGACUGCCUUCGGGUUGUAAACCUCUUUCAGUGGGGACGAAAUUGACGGUACCCACAGAAGAAGCACCGGCCAACUACGUGCCAGCAGCCGCGGUAAUACGUAGGGUGCAAGCAUUGUCCGGAUUUAUUGGGCGUAAAGAGCUCGUAGGCGGCUUAACAAGUCGGCCGUGAAAUACCGAGGCUCAACCUCGGGGAGUCGGUCGAAACUGUUAUAGCUAGAGUACGGUAGAGGAGAGUGGAAUUCUCGGUGUAGCGGUGGAAUGCGCAGAUAUCGAGAGGAACACCAGUAGCGAAGGCAGCACUCUGGGCCGAUACUGACACUGAGGAGCGAAAGCAUGGGGAGCAAACAGGAUUAGAUACCCUGGUAGUCCAUGCCGUAAACGUUGGGCACUAGGUGUGGGGAUUUAUCAACGAUCUCCGCGCCGUCGCUAACGCAUUAAGUG